rnacentral:rRNA from 1 species
GAUGAACGCUAGCGGCAGGCUUAAUACAUGCAAGUCGAGGGGUAGCAUGAUUGUAGCAAUACAGUUGAUGACGACCGGCAAACGGGUGCGGAACACGUACACAACCUUCCUACAAGUGGGGAAUAGCCCAGAGAAAUUUGGAUUAAUACCCCGUAACAUAGCGAUGUGGCAUCACAUUGCUAUUAUAGCUUCGGCGCUUGUUGAUGGGUGUGCGGCUGAUUAGAUAGUUGGCGGGGUAACGGCCCACCAAGUCUACGAUCAGUAGCUGAUGUGAGAGCAUGAUCAGCCACACGGGCACUGAGACACGGGCCCGACUCCUACGGGAGGCAGCAGUAAGGAAUAUUGGACAAUGGACGCAAGUCUGAUCCAGCCAUGCCGCGUGAAGGAUUAAGGUCCUCUGGAUUGUAAACUUCUUUUAUAAGGGACGAAAAAAGGUCUUUCUAGAUCGUCUGACGGUACCUUAUGAAUAAGCACCGGCUAACUCCGUG